GACGAACGCUGGCGGCGUGCCUAAUACAUGCAAGUAGAACGCUGAAGCUUGGUGCUUGCACCGAGCGGAUGAGUUGCGAACGGGUGAGUAACGCGUAGGUAACCUGCCUGGUAGCGGGGGAUAACUAUUGGAAACGAUAGCUAAUACCGCAUAAGAGUAGAUGUUGCAUGACAUUUGCUUAAAAGGUGCAAUUGCAUCACUACCAGAUGGACCUGCGUUGUAUUAGCUAGUUGGUGAGGUAACGGCUCACCAAGGCAACGAUACAUAGCCGACCUGAGAGGGUGAUCGGCCACACUGGGACUGGGACACGGCCCAGACUCCGACGGGAGGCAGCAGUAGGGAGUCUUCGGCAAUGGACGGAAGUCUGACCGAGCAACGCCGCGUGAGUGAAGAAGGUUUUCGGAUCGUAAAGCUCUGUUGUAAGAGAAGAACGAGUGUGAGAGUGGAAAGUUCACACUGUGACGGUAUCUUACCAGAAAGGGACGGCUAACUACGUG
rnacentral:rRNA from 1 species